rnacentral:lncRNA from 1 species
AUGAGUCAAGCAACUGAGAGAGAGGCCAGUGAUGGGAUGGCAAAGGAGAAGUUGGAGUAUUCUAAAGAAGAGGAAGGACAUCAGAAGAGGAGGCAAGUCAGCAAACCUCUGAUGCAGACUCUCUGGGCACAGUUCAAAAGCAGUAGGCAUCUUGGACGAAAGGAUUGCUUUAGACUUUCAUUUGAGUUUUCAUUGGUCGACAUACAGAUCACAAAAUGGUUUAAACAAAAGAAGAAGCAAUAUCAAAAAUGUUGUAAGGAUACAACUAAUUACUACAAAUGCAAAUGACUUUGGUAAGUUUUUUUAAACACAUAGUUGUAUUUCUUUAAGUCACCAAGUGUCAACAAGUGAGUAUCAGACAUAAAGAUUUUAGCUUACAGACAGGAGUUUUAUUUGGUGAACCGAACAGCCAUAUUAAUGACUUGCUGUGGUAAGCAGUCACAAAGCCUGCCCAUGCUCAUUUUGCUACGACUCCUUCCAACUUCCCAGCAACCUACAAUCAACACCAAACACAUCCCUAUUAUUGAAAACCACUGCCAAGUUCUGACAGCCACUACAGCAUGACUCUACCUACAUAGUAAAAGGUUGUCGCUAUCCUGUAUAUCAUGUCAUUUUGUUUCCUGCUUCCUUCUUCAAAUCAGGCAGAGGUCUGAAGACCAUCCAUAUCUUUAUCAUCUACAUGAAGAGAUUUUCCUGAAGAUGCAGAAGAAUUUUAAUGAUCAAUAUAGAACCUUGUUAGUGACCAAUUAUGGGAUUCUGAGCAUGUCCUCAUUUUUAAAGCACUACCUUAAUGAUACAGUUCAAUAAUUUUUAAUAAAAAUUCAUCAUGACCCA